AUCAUUUAGGACUGAGGAUGAUGCAAAAUAUUUUAAAAAAAACGAAUCCAGUGAAACAAAAGAACAAAUAUUAAGGAUUCGUACUUUAAACAACCCAAGUUCAAAAAUACUUCAUAAAUAACCAGAGUGGAGUAAAAUUCAAGAAUGAAGACCAAAACAUAGAUCCAAUCAAAGAUAGGAAUCAUAACAGACAAUCUUGGACACAGAGAAG
rnacentral:lncRNA from 1 species